rnacentral:lncRNA from 1 species
GUUCCAAACAAGAAGAGAAAUAGUCUCAGGGAAUAUGAUGUAAUGUCCAAAGAUGACAAAGAAAAGGCAACUGACUCAAAGUUACUCUUGGGCAAGUCAUUUCAUCUCUCCACGACACAGUUUCCUGCCUCUUCAACAAGCGAAAAGUGUUGGACACCAGGGUUGCAUCUAACUUAAUUUUGUUUCCGAUGUUCAUUAAGAAGAAUGAUCUUCAAGCUAGGAAGGAGAGUGUAUAUACCAAAGCGCUUUAUUAUAGCCAUAGCACCGUGAGAAAAUACAGGUUGAAUUAAUAAAUGGAACAGCUACUACAAGUACACUAAAAAGUAAGGACUUUCAACCGAGACUUGGAUGAAGAUAUCAAAGGCCCACUUUUGGAAUUUACAGACAGCACAAACCUGGAUUGGGCAUCACCAUAUGACUCUGACAGCCCUGAGGGAAUGUACGUUGUAGAGAGGAAAUCUACUAGAAGCUCUAGAGAAGAGUGGCAGUGGUGCCAAACCCUGACGAAGACAGAGCAACUGCAAGAGACCCUAGGAAACAGUCACAGGCAGUUUCUUCAAUGCAGGGAAAUAACACCAGUAUAAGAGCAAGCAGCACCCGACAAGCUCUGAGCAGCAGUUGAAUGGGAAAAUAUCUUGUUAUCUGCAAGAGAGAAGAUCCAUGAGAUAGAAGGAAACUGGAUAUCUGAAUUAAUGUAUAGAAGACCUCCUGACUGGGAAUGCACUCACACUGGAUUGUAAUGCAUGCGUCACUGUACUUUGCAUCUCACCCAUCCUGAAUGACAACUUGAAGAAUCAGCAUAUCAGCCAGGAUACUAGAGGACCCUUAAUUCUUAAUCAAAAUCCAUUUCUAUAAUACAAAGAGAGCACAUUCUUGGGUAUAUCCAACAUCCUCUUGUGAAAAGUAUGUUAAACAGAAGCAUUAUAAGAAUUAUAGCUGAAGAGCAGUCUCAAUUGCUUAUAUGUGUGCAUGUUUACACUAAAGACUUCAACAUUUCCAUGCUGUAUUUACAGAGAGCAAAAGUGCAACAGAUGCAUGCGUAUACAAUAUAUGUUUCACCUAACGUCCAACUGGCUAUUAUCAACUGGUAUUCAUUAAAUUGGAGCCUGAUAGUUCCUUGAGGGCAGGGACAGACAUCUCUCCUGCUUCUUGGUACCCACGUUCUCCCCACCAUCCCCAUGGUGUCUAGUACAAUGUACAAAGCAGGUGAUUAAUAAAUAUUUUCAGUUGAGUUGACAAUGCCUAUGCAAACACUUCUUUCUCAGUCUGAUAGCUCUUUAUCUGUUGCUAGGCUUUCUUUUGUGGUAACAGGGUUAGAGAUAUAUCACAAUUGUACUUAUUUAUUUUCCCAAUACUAAAUAAUACUCUUAACAUUUUUGUUCUGCCAAGAAAUCUUAUGAAGGUAGACAUAGAAUAACUAAACC